UACGUAGGGUGCAAGCGUUGUCCGGAAUUAUUGGGCGUAAAGAGCUCGUAGGCGGUCUGUCGCGUCGGAUGUGAAAAUCCAGGGCUUAACCCUGGGCCUGCAUUCGAUACGGGCAGACUAGAGUUCGGUAGGGGAGACUGGAAUUCCUGGUGUAGCGGUGAAAUGCGCAGAUAUCAGGAGGAACACCGGUGGCGAAGGCGGGUCUCUGGGCCGAUACUGACGCUGAGGUGCGAAAGCGUGGGGAGCAAACAGG
rnacentral:rRNA from 1 species